UGGGUAAUCUUUGAACGUGAAUCGUGCUGGGGAUAGAUGAUUGCAAUUAUUCAUCUUCAACGAGGAAUUCCUAGUAAACGCAAGUCAUCAGCUUGCAUUGAUUACGUCCCUGCCCUUUGUACACACCGCCCGUCGCACCUACCGAUUGAAUGGUCCGGUGAAAUCUUCGGAUCUGAGAGAUGUUGGAUUCAUUUCUGACGCCUUUUAGAAAAGUUGCUUAAACCUUAUCAUUUAGAGGAAGGUGAAGUCGUAACAAGGUUUCCGUAGGUGAACCUGCGGAAGGAUCAUUA
rnacentral:rRNA from 1 species